rnacentral:rRNA from 1 species
UUGCACGCUGGCGGCAGGCCUAACACCUGCAAGUCGAGCGGAUGAAGGGAGCUUGCUCCUGGAUUCAGCGGCGGACGGGUGAGUAAUGCCUAGGAAUCUGCCUGGUAGUGGGGGAUAACGUCCGGAAACGGGCGCUAAUACCGCAUACGUCCUGAGGGAGAAAGUGGGGGAUCUUCGGACCUCACGCUAUCAGAUGAGCCUAGGUCGGAUUAGCUAGUUGGUGGGGUAAAGGCCUACCAAGGCGACGAUCCGUAACUGGUCUGAGAGGAUGAUCAGUCACACUGGAACUGAGACACGGUCCAGACUCCUACGGGAGGCAGCAGUGGGGAAUAUUGGACAAUGGGCGAAAGCCUGAUCCAGCCAUGCCGCGUGUGUGAAGAAGGUCUUCGGAUUGUAAAGCACUUUAAGUUGGGAGGAAGGGCAGUAAGUUAAUACCUUGCUGUUUUGACGUUACCAACAGAAUAAGCACCGGGUAACUUCGUG